rnacentral:ncRNA from 2 species
AAUUAAAACGUAAUCACUGUCGGUAUAAUUGUUGGAGAAUGGCCAACGAGUUCCUACCCUUCUCCCAAGAGAUGGACUACCGAUAGUGUUUUGAUAUUU